GGGAUUCACCACAGAUUUCCAAGGAAAAGGGCCCUCUUUUUUUACAUCCGAUCAGAGAGUUGCACUUCAAAACCAUGGAGUUGACCAGAAGUUUAGCAACAUCAGACGUGUACAAGAUGCAGUCAAGCACACUGCAUCUUUUUAACUCUGUCUUUGAACCAAGAUCACCACUCAGGAAGGGAGAUCACUGGGAAAUGUAUGCGAACUCUAUUUCUUCCUGCCAAGCAUGCUGCAAAACGUACUUGGGAAGAUAAGAUGGAACACACACACAAAGCAUGUUCCUUUCCUUGCAAGCCAGCCACCAUCUCAGAGAUCAUGAUGGUUCACAAAGCUGUUGGGAGAAUACACAUGAAGCAUCAGUUCUACAGCUGCUGGAUUCAGUUUUUAGAGACUGAAGGAACUCAAGCCAGUAGCCUUGAGUGACAUACCUCCGCGUUUCACAGAACUUUCUGAGGACAGAAUAUUCAUGAAGCAUGUUCCUCCUCCUAUGAGCCACUGUCUUAGAGAUUUGGAUACAUUGGUCAGUUUUUCGAUGAAGUUGUUCCUCAUGACAAAUGAGAUCGGUUGAGCCUGGCUUGACUUCUGUAGCCUCCUUGCACUGAUGCUUGAAAUCUGUUGGAAAAGAACAAGAGACAACUUUUAUUUUCAACUGUGGGCCAUUUUAAACCCAUUUUUACACUCAGCAGCCCUUAUCCCCUGAGAGUUCUCUUUUUGUUCACUUGUAUGCUCUUCACCUUGCUCCAAUCUUUGUCUUUGAGCCUUACCUAUCACAGAGGCCUCUUCAGAGGAGGAAACAUUCCAACAUCACCAUCCAAGCAUGGAAAUUGUAAGGAAACAUGUGCCUUCUUUUUCUUCAUGCCAAACUUACCACAAAAGCUUACUGAGAGGACAGAAAGCAAACCUCAUGAAGCAUGUUCCAUUCAAGAGAGCCACAACCUUAGAAUUUAUGCUGUCUCCCUCAGCUGUUGAAAAAAUAAAGAAACCUGAAGCUACUAUUGGCAACCCCUGAAAUUUAGUGAUUUCUGGGCCUUGACUUGUGCAGCCCCAAGGCUGACUUUUCUUGUGCGUUGUUACCUUCUUCCAUUCUUGCCCGAGAUGUUUGUUGUUCUUUCUUGGCUUCUGUGUCAUUGAUUUAUUUGAUUCUUUCCUGAAAUCUGUCGGGAAAGAGCAAGUUAUGUCAUUUAUUUUGGACUGUGCUAAAUAUCAAAUUUUUAUCUUAUCCUAUAUAAUAAAACCCUAGGGUACCUGC